rnacentral:rRNA from 1 species
AUUGAACGCUGGCGGCAGGCUUAACACAUGCAAGUCGAGCGGGGUGAUGGUGCUUGCACUAUCACUUAGCGGCGGACGGGUGAGUAAUGCUUAGGAAUCUGCCUAUAGUGGGGGACAACAUCUCGAAAGGGAUGCUAAUACCGCAUACGUCCUACGGGAGAAAGCAGGGGAUCACUUGUGACCUUGCGCUAAUAGCUGAGCCUAAGUCGGAUUAGCUAGUUGGUGGGGUAAAGGCCUACCAAGGCGACGAUCUGUAGCGGGUCUGAGAGGAUGAUCCGCCACACUGGGACUGAGACACGGCCCAGACUCCUACGGGAGGCAGCAGUGGGGAAUAUUGGACAAUGGGGGGAACCCUGAUCCAGCCAUGCCGCGUGUGUGAAGAAGGCCUUAUGGUUGUAAAGCACUUUAAGCGAGGAGGAGGCUCUUUUGGUUAAUACCCAAGAUGAGUGGACGUUACUCGCAGAAUAAGCACCGGCUAACUCUGUGCCAGCCGCCGCAGUAA